rnacentral:rRNA from 1 species
GACGAACGCUGGCGGCGUGCUUAACACAUGCAAGUCGAACGGAAAGGCCCUGCUUUUGUGGGGUGCUCGAGUGGCGAACGGGUGAGUAACACGUGAGUAACCUGCCCUUGACUUUGGGAUAGCUUCAGGAAACUGGGGCUAAUACCGGAUAGGAGCUCCUGCUGCAUGGUGGGGGUUGGAAAGUUUCGGCGGUUGGGGAUGGACUCGCGGCUUAUCAGCUUGUUGGUGGGGUAGUGGCUUACCAAGGCUUUGACGGGUAGCCGGCCUGAGAGGGUGACCGGCCACAUUGGGACUGAGAUACGGCCCAGACUCCUACGGGAGGCAGCAGUGGGGAAUAUUGCACAAUGGGCGGAAGCCUGAUGCAGCAACGCCGCGUGCGGGAUGACGGCCUUCGGGUUGUAAACCGCUUUCGCCUGUGACGAAGCGUGAGUGACGGUAAUGGGUAAAGAAGCACCGGCUAACUACGUGCCAGCAGCCGCGGUGAUACGUAGGGUGCGAGCGUUGUCCGGAUUUAUUGGGCGUAAAGGGCUCGUAGGUGGUUGAUCGCGUCGGAAGUGUAAUCUUGGGGCUUAACCCUGAGCGUGCUUUCGAUACGGGUUGACUUGAGGAAAGGUAGGGGAGAAUGGAAUUCCUGGUGGAGCGGUGGAAUGCGCAGAUAUCAGGAGGAACACCAGUGGCGAAGGCGGUUCUCUGGGCCUUUCCUGACGCUGAGGAGCGAAAGCGUGGGGAGCGAACAGGCUUAGAUACCCUGGUAGUCCACGCUGUAAACGGUGGGUACUAGGUGUGGGGUCCAUUCCACGGGUUCCGUGCCGUAGCUAACGCUUUAAGUACCCCGCCUGGGGAGUACGGCCGCAAGGCUAAAACUCAAAGGAAUUGACGGGGCCCCGCACAAGCGGCGGAGCAUGCGGAUUAAUUCGAUGCAACGCGUAGAACCUUACCUGGGUUUGACAUGGAUCGGGAGCGCUCAGAGAUGGGUGUGCCUCUUUUGGGGUCGGUUCACAGGUGGUGCAUGGCUGUCGUCAGCUCGUGUCGUGAGAUGUUGGGUUAAGUCCCGCAACGAGCGCAACCCUUGUUCACUGUUGCCAGCACGUUAUGGUGGGGACUCAGUGGAGACCGCCGGGGUCAACUCGGAGGAAGGUGGGGAUGACGUCAAGUCAUCAUGCCCCUUAUGUCCAGGGCUUCACGCAUGCUACAAUGGCUGGUACAGAGAGUGGCGAGCCUGUGAGGGUGAGCGAAUCUCGGAAAGCCGGUCUCAGUUCGGAUUGGGGUCUGCAACUCGACCUCAUGAAGUCGGAGUCGCUAGUAAUCGCAGAUCAGCAACGCUGCGGUGAAUACGUUCCCGGGGCU